AUGCUGUUUCAUUGUGGAAGCAAAACUACUUUGUUUGGCCUUCCAAAAGAGGACACAACUAGAAAUCAUUGGUUAAGUUGUAUUUACAACACUGUUCCAGAACAGUUCAACCCAAAUAUUCGAGUGUGCAGCACAUUUUAUGGAGGACUGUUUCCUGAUCCUGGAAUUGAAGACUACAAUGCCGGCUGUUCUGACUCACAGUCUACUGUAUCAGAGGCUCACAGGCUCACCAGCAUCUCUUCUUCUUCAGGACACUGAAGAAGAACCAGCUGUCUUCAGCCAUCCUGGUGAACUUCUACCGGUGUGCGAUCGAGAGCAUCCUGACCAGUUGUAUUACAGUCUGGUAUGGGAACUGCUCAGUGGCUGACCACAAAGCACUGCAGAGGGUGGUGAAAACUGCCCAACGCAUCACAGGGACACCACUUCCUGCUAUUGAGGACAUCCAAAGGAAACACUGUCUACGUCGAGCUCGCAGCAUUCUUAAGGACUCCUCUCACCCUGGCCACAGACUGUUUAACCUCCUGCCCUCCGGGAGGCGCUUUAGGAGCCUCCGGACAAGGACCAGCAGAUCCAGGAACAGUUUUUUCCCUACAGCUGUCUCCUUACUGAAUUCUGCCCUCUGACACCCACCACACCACCCCCACACCACACACACAGACUCCUCACCCCUCCUCAUCACUACAUCUGAUUUACAAACAAACAAAAACAGUUCACUUGUUAUUACUUGCACCUGUCUGUUUAUCCAGAAUACUGAGUAAUCCAUUUGCACACUGGAAUAUUUUAUAUUUUCUAUGCACUUUUUUACGGUCCAUUGCACUAGUGUAAAUGAUGUUCAUAUGUUCAUAGUUUCUGCUUAUAAUGUACAUACACUUUUACAUAAUCCAUCUGUAUAGUAUGUUCAUAACACAUCUGUAUAUCAUGCUGAUAGUAUUUCAAAUUUGUAAAUUAUGUCCAUAAUACUGCCUUAUUUGUAGAUUUAUUGUACAUUUGCAACAUAUUGUAAACACUGUAUAUUAUGUUCUUACUGCUUACUGCACUUCUGGUUAGAUGCUUACUGCAUUUCGUUUCCUUGUACCUUACAUGUGCAAUGACAAUAAAGUUGAAUCUAAUCUAAUCUAAAAAUUGCCC
ensembl:lncRNA